GGGCGUGUAACUCAGUGGUAGAGUGCUCGCUUUGCACCUUCCUAGGAAUCUGCGAGAAGCCCAGGGUUCGACUCCCUGCUCGUCCA